GGCUCAGGACGAACGCGGGCGGCGUGCCUAUACAUGCAAGUCGAGCGGACAGAAGGGAGCUUGCUCCCGGAUGUUAGCGGCGGACGGGUGAGUAACACGUGGGUAACCUGCCUGUAAGACUGGGAUAACUCCGGGAAACCGGAGCUAAUACCGGAUAGUUCCUUGAACCGCAUGGUUCAAGGAUGAAAGACGGUUUCGGCUGUCACUUACAGAUGGACCCGCGGCGCAUUAGCUAGUUGGUGAGGUAACGGCUCACCAAGGCGACGAUGCGUAGCCGACCUGAGAGGGUGAUCGGCCACACUGGGACUGAGACACGGCCCAGACUCCUACGGGAGGCAGCAGUAGGGAAUCUUCCGCAAUGGACGAAAGUCUGACGGAGCAACGCCGCGUGAGUGAUGAAGGUUUUCGGAUCGUAAAGCUCUGUUGUUAGGGAAGAACAAGUGCAAGAGUAACUGCUUGCACCUUGACGGUACCUAACCAGAAAGCCACGGCUAACUACGUGCCAGCAGCCGCGGUAAUACGUAGGUGGCAAGCGUUGUCCGGAAUUAUUGGGCGUAAAGGGCUCGCAGGCGGUUUCUUAAGUCUGAUGUGAAAGCCCCCGGCUCAACCGGGGAGGGUCAUUGGAAACUGGGAAACUUGAGUGCAGAAGAGGAGAGUGGAAUUCCACGUGUAGCGGUGAAAUGCGUAGAGAUGUGGAGGAACACCAGUGGCGAAGGCGACUCUCUGGUCUGUAACUGACGCUGAGGAGCGAAAGCGUGGGGAGCGAACAGGAUUAGAUACCCUGGUAGUCCACGCCGUAAACGAUGAGUGCUAAGUGUUAGGGGGUUUCCGCCCCUUAGUGCUGCAGCUAACGCAUUAAGCACUCCGCCUGGGGAGUACGGUCGCAAGACUGAAACUCAAAGGAAUUGACGGGGGCCCGCACAAGCGGUGGAGCAUGUGGUUUAAUUCGAAGCAACGCGAAGAACCUUACCAGGUCUUGACAUCCUCUGACAACCCUAGAGAUAGGGCUUUCCCUUCGGGGACAGAGUGACAGGUGGUGCAUGGUUGUCGUCAGCUCGUGUCGUGAGAUGUUGGGUUAAGUCCCGCAACG
rnacentral:rRNA from 1 species